UACGAAGGGGGCGAGCGUUGUUCGGAAUUACUGGGCGUAAAGGGCGCGCAGGCGGCUCUGAAAGUCAGAUGUGAAAGCCCCGGGCUUAACCUGGGAACUGCAUUUGAUACUCUAGAGCUUGAGUACGGGAGAGGAGAGUGGAAUUCCCAGUGUAGAGGUGAAAUUCGUAGAUAUUGGGAGGAACACCAGUAGCGAAGGCGACACUCUGGGCCGGAACUGACGCUGAGGAGCGAAAGCGUGGGGAGCAAACAGG
rnacentral:rRNA from 1 species